rnacentral:lncRNA from 1 species
GUUCUUGUCCAAGAUCAUUUAUUGUUAUUAUUAUUUUUCUCUCUUAAUUGGAUUCAGCGUUUCUGGCUCCUCACACACAUCCUCUCUGGUGGGGGAUUCAGGUUUGUGCAAAGCACAAAGGAGCUUGUACCCACCUGGGCCCCCGGCCAGCAGCACGGCCGGCUUUGAUCGGAGCCCCUCUUCCCUGUCCGGGCUCGCCUGCCCCAGUCCCUGCUUCUGACCCCUGAGUCCGGCCUCCCGAGCCUCUGCCUGCACCCUGAGCAUCCCCAGGACGGCUGGGAGGGCCAGGUCUUCCGUGAUGCAGAAGUGCCUGAGAUGGUUCAUGAAAUGCCCUCAUUGUUCCCCUUCUGCUAAGGCCCCCGACGCCUCCCUCCUGCUGUCCCACACAGGGCCCUUGCUGGGUCACACACCAAACAGCCUCAAGGAAAAAUUCAGCAGCUGAGCCGUGCGGGAGGCCUGGGCUCAAGCCCGGAGUCUCCUUGGCCCGUCCAGGCCGUCACUGACCAAACGCUAGGCUGACGACACGGUCCGACCCUUUGGACUAACACUGUGGAUGCUGCCUGGCCUGCUGGUUUCCAGAUCCCAAAGCCCCUUCCUUCCCCUUCUCCAUCUCGCUCACCCUCGGGGCCUGGCUCCCUCAUAUACAAUAAGCUGCUUCUCACUUCUCACCCUGAAGCCAACAGCUACGACAGCAGGGGUGACAGGGCGCUCCAGGGUGGCAGACAGGCUUGUGUUGCAUAUAAAAACAAGGUGAUGCUCUAAAUAAAAAUUCUAUCACUUUGUUUUUGCUAGAAAUCACCAAUACAAUCCUUAGUUCAGCAAAUACAGUUUUCUGUAUAGUUUAUAAACAUGAAAAGACGUACAGUUAGGUAACGGAGUGGGAGGGGGACUGUGCAUUUGUGUAUAUAUAUAUAUAUAUAUAUAUAUAUAUAUAUAUAUAUAUAUGUAGAGUGUGAAUAUAUAUAAGUGGACGUAGUUAGUUAUAAAACUGCACCUUCUGUGAGAACCUCAUUGCCCGGGAUGAAGUUCUAGAUUUCAGCCUCUGAUGAUCUUUCCUUUGGUAAUUGGUUCUUGGACCCCAGCAGUUGGACCUGGGUCUGCCAGGGUUGCCUGAGACAUCAGGAAUGAGAGGCGCUACCCCCGAGGGAGGGGCUGAAGGUGGAGUAGGAUAGAAUUCAGGGCAGGGUGACUGGCCUCAGGCAAGAGCCAAGAUGCCACCUGCUCGUGUGUGCCCAGACUGCUGGCCACCCAGCCUCGUGGGUGAGCCUCAUUUGUUCUUCUCUGCGUCCUGCUUUCU